AACGAACGCUGGCGGCAGGCUUAACACUUGCAAGUCGAACGCACCGCAAGGUGAGUGGCAGACGGGUGAGUAACACGUGGGGAUCUGCCCAAUGGUACGGAAUAGCUCCGGGAAACUGGAAUUAAUACCGCAUGAGCCCGCAAGGGGAAAGAUUUAUCGCCAUUGGAUGAACCCGCGUCGGAUUAGCUAGUUGGUGUGGUAAAGGCGCACCAAGGCGACGAUCCGUAGCUGGUCUGAGAGGAUGAUCAGCCACACUGGGACUGAGACACGGCCCAGACUCCUACGGGAGGCAGCAGUGGGGAAUAUUGGACAAUGGGCGCAAGCCUGAUCCAGCCAUGCCGCGUGAGUGAUGAAGGCCUUAGGGUUGUAAAGCUCUUUCGCCGACGAAGAUAAUGACGGUAGUCGGAGAAGAAGCCCCGGCUAACUUCGUGCCAGCCGCCGCCGUAAGAC
rnacentral:rRNA from 1 species